rnacentral:rRNA from 1 species
GAUGAACGCUAGCGGCCGGCCUAAUACAUGCAAGUCGAGGGAGAAUGUUGGAUUCGUCUGACAUGAAACCGGCGCACGGGUGCGUAACACGUAUGCAACCUACCUUUAACUGGGGUAUAGCUCAGAGAAAUCUGACUUAAUCCCCCAUAAGACUACGACAUGGCAUCCUGAUGUAGUUAAAGCUCCGGCGGUUAAGGAUGGGCAUGCGGUAAAUUAGCUAGUUGGUGAGGUAAUGGAUCACCAAGGCUACGAUGUAUAGGGGGUCGUGAGAGGAUGAUCCCCCACACUGGUACUGAGACACGGACCAGACUCCUACGGGAGGCAGCAGUAGGGAAUAUUGGUCAAUGGACGCAAGUCUGAACCAGCCACGCCGCGUGAAGGAUGAAGGCCCUAUGGGUCGUAAACUUCUUUUAUUAGGGAACAAAAAACGGGAUGCGUCCUGUACUGACGGUACUUAAUGAAUAAGGAUCGGCUAACUUCGUGCCAGCAGCCGCGGUAA